rnacentral:rRNA from 1 species
UACGUAGGGUGCGAGCGUUAAUCGGAAUUAUUGGGCGUAAAGGGCGCGUAGGCGGUGCGGUAAGUCACCUGUGAAAUCUCCUGGCUCAACUGGGAGCUUGCAGGCGAAACUGCCGUGCUGGAGUGUGGGAGAGGUGAGUGGAAUUCCCGGUGUAGCGGUGAAAUGCGUAGAGAGUCGGGAGGAACACCCGUGGCGAAGGCGGCCAUCUGGACCAGCACUGACGCUGAGGCACGAAAGCGUGGGGAGCAAACAGGG